UGUUCAUGAUGAAAACCAUCUUAAUCAUACCAUCUUUCGGGACUGAUUUGUUGCUAUGCGUCCGUGCUGUCAUUCCGUAAUUCUAAGGACA
rfam:Triticum aestivum genome assembly, contig: Triticum_aestivum_CS42_TGACv1_scaffold_485580_6AS